UGCGUAGGCGGUCCCGCAAGUCCGCUGUGAAAGCCCCGGGCUUAACCUGGGAAUGGCAGUGGAAACUAUGGGACUUGAAUCUGGCAGAGGGGGGUGGAAUGCCACGUGUAGCAGUGAAAUGCGUAGAUAUGUGGCGGAACACCGAUGGCGAAGGCAGCCCCCUGGGCUGAGAUUGACGCUCAGGCACGAAAGCGUGGGGAGCAAACAGGAUUAGAUACCCUGGCAGUCCACGCCCUAAACGAUGAUCACUAGGUGUUGGGGAAGCGAUUUCUCAGUACCGCAGCUAACGCGUGAAGUGAUCCGCCUGGGGAGUACGGUCGCAAGAUUAAA
rnacentral:rRNA from 1 species